rnacentral:rRNA from 1 species
AUUGAACGCUGGCGGCAGGCCUAACACAUGCAAGUCGAACGAGUGGCGGACGGGUGAGUAAAGUCUGGGAAACUUCCUGAUGUCGGGGGAUAACUACUGUAAACGGUAGCUAAUACCGCAUACCAUCAGAUGUGCCCAGUUGGGAGUAGCUAGUUGGGGGGGCAACGGCUCACCAAGGCGACGAUCCCUAGCUGGUCUGGGAGGUGGACCAGCCAUACUGGAACUGAGACACGGUCCAGACUCCUACGGGAGGCAGCAGUGGGGAAUAUUGCCCAAUGGGGGAAAGCCUGAUGCAGCCAUGCCGCGUGUGUGAAGAAGGCCUUCGGGUUGUAAAGUACUUUCAGCGGGGAGGCGUUACCCGCAGAAGAAGCACCGGCUAACUCCGUGCCAGCCGCCGCGGUAAUAC